ensembl:lncRNA
AUGGGCUACAACAGUUUUCUUCAUCAAGACAUGCAGUAGAAUCAACAGUCUUCACCGAAGGUUGUACCAGCAGAAAGGUCAAUCCAGAACUGGAUUCAGCUGGAAGUGUUUGCUCUCAUGAAGAAAUAUGGUGAGGAUUGAUGGGAUACCAGAGAGCGAUCCAUCAUCUCAGGCAGGAGGCGCUGUAUCGGAAUUUGGGAAAUCUGUUCCCAAUCACACCUACAGGCUGGCGGCCAUGUAAGAAACCCCCACCUCCUCAUCCAGCAUGCACCGUCCUCCCCUCAUCUGUGUGUCAGAACCGGAAAUCAAUGCGAGCCACUCAAGGUCAAUACUCUGUUGGUGAGCUCCCUACAAGCUUUGAUGGAAACAUCCCGCUCAAAGAGAGUCGACGCGAGGGGGAAUUGACAGUUGUUUCGUCCGAGCUGUUAAAGGGACAGUGAGUCUCAGAUGCUUGUCAUAGUGUCUGUCUGCUGUCAUUUACACAUUUU